UACAGAGGUCUCAAGCGUUGUUCGGAUUCACUGGGCGUAAAGGGUGCGUAGGUGGUGAGGUAAGUCGGAUGUGAAAGCUCGGAGCUCAACUCCGAAAUGGCAUUGGAAACUACCUUGCUCGAGGGUUGGGGGGGGGGACUGGAAUGCUUGGUGUAGCAGUGAAAUGCGUAGAUAUCAAGCGGAACACCAGUGGCGAAGGCGAGUCCCUGGACAACUCCUGACACUGAGGCACGAAAGCUAGGGGAGCAAACAGG
rnacentral:rRNA from 1 species